UGAAAGUUAUCGACGAACAAAUAAAAGAACAACAACAGAAAAAAAUCAUCAUCAUCAUCAUGAUUAUUGUCGAUUGGGUUAUAUCGAAUAGCAUCCAUAUGGUGUACGCGCGCGUUUACGAUACACGAACGCCACGAACGUUUUGUUUGUCAAAAUUUUAUUCAAUUCAAAAUUCAUGAUUUUGGCCAUUUUGGAUUCGAACAUACAAACACACACAAAAACAUUCGAUCGAAUAUUUUUAUUGUGAAAAAAAAGAACAUGAAUGCCAAGACAGGUUGGUUUGUUUGUUUGUUUGUUUGGCAUCUAAACCAAGAGUAAAAACCUCAAAUAAUUUGAAUAUAAUUCCUACCCUAUAUAUUAUUAUUUUGAAAUUCAAUUGAUUUUCAAUUGGUUGGGUGUCAUUCAAGAUCAAUGCUGAUGAUGAUCGAUCCAUUGAAUAACGAUAUAUACGAAAAACUUGGGCGAGUCAUUUUUUAAAAUGUAACAAAUACGAGAUAUGCAAAUCACCAACAACAACACACACACCCCAUCCAUCGAAUUUUGUAACAACAACAACAAAACUACCGUUAUUACGUGUACAUCAAUUCAUUGUUGUGAUCGAUAAAUAGCAACAAGAACAACAGUUGAACCAAAAAAAAAACUAGACAAGACCAAGGCCCUAGUCUAGUAGUGUUCAAAUUCAAUGUUGAUGAUGAUGCUUGACUAACCUUGCCUAAUAAUUACAAAAAAAAACAAAACAAAACCAAAGGGACCCUAUGGCGAUCUUCAUCAAGUCAUUGGAUCAUAGACACUGACAUCCAUAUCAUCAUCAUCAUCAUCAAUGAUGAUGAUGAUGUUCCAAAUGUCCAAAAAAAACAGAGAUAAUUAUUCGUUUGAAAAUUUUUUUUCCUAAUUUCGUUGUCUAAAAUUGAUAUACGUGACAUACAUAUUCAUACAUAUAUAUAGGUGAAAGCACCAAAAAAAAA